AGGAAUAUUGCUCAAUGGGAGAAAUCCUGAAGCAGCAACGCCGCGUGGAGGAUGAAGGGUCUAUGACUUGUAAACUCCUGUAAAGAAGGAAAAAAUUCCCAUUUGAUGGGAGAUGAUGGUACUUCUGGAGUAAGCCCCGGCUAACUACGUGCCAGCAGCCGCGGUAAUACGUAGGGGGCAAGCGUUGUCCGGAUUUACUGGGUGUAAAGGGUGCUCAGGCGGAUUUGUAAGUCAGAGGUGAAAUCUUACAGCUUAACUGUGAAACUGCCUUUGAUACUGCAAGCCUAGAGUAUGGAAGAGAGUGAUGGAAUAUCUGGUGUAGCAGUGAAAUGCGUAGAUAUCAGAUAGAACACCGAUGGCGAAGGCAGUCACUUGGUCCAUUACUGACGCUAAAGCACGAAAGCGUGGGUAGCAAACA
rnacentral:rRNA from 1 species